rnacentral:lncRNA from 1 species
UUUCCACAAUAAAAUCCUCCCCUUCACCUUCAUUUUUCCACUUGUGAUUUUUGCAAAAAAGGUAUCAAUCUCACUUCUCUCUUCUUUCUCUCACUUAAAUUAGUUCUUCCGCAUACUUUUGAGUUUUUCCGAUCAAUCCGCCACAUUAUUCCAAUCUAAUUUGAAGUUUUUGGGCGAUCUUCAACUUAUUCUUUGUGAAUUUUCAUAUGUUCUUCAUCAGCUCUUCACUUAUUUUCUUUGCCAGAACUCCAAACCCUAUAUGGAAUCGAGUUCAUCAACUGAAUCGGUUAGCUAUCGAUCUGUCGGCUCGGAAGGUUGGAUAAUUCUAAGGGAAUUAGUUUAUACUGAUGCCAAAACUUCCAAAAGUGUUUCCAUAGGUUGCCAAUCUCUUACUUGCAAGAAUUCUCGACAAGUGAAGUUGGUAUUAGUUCUCGUUGUGUGGUUAUUGAGGUCCCAACUCUUCAA